rnacentral:lncRNA from 1 species
AACAACUCCGUAUUCACUAGAAUCUAAUGAAGUUGAUGAACACAAAAAUGGAACUACAAAAGAGAUGAUGAAUGCAAUGUUGCUGGAAUCUGGAUUACCCCAUAACAUAUGGGGGGAAGCGUUGCUUACUACUUGUAACACCCUCGAUCUGGAAUAAAUAAAAUUUAAUUAGUUUGCCAUGCACCAAUCAAACAAGAACAUGCACGACGAACUAAAGAACUAACCAGAUCGAAGAUACUACUACCACGUGCCCGAACAUUUGAUCUGAGGUUCCCAGAUCAGAUCCGAAAUCCUAAGAUCAUAUGUCCAAGAACGGGUUUCUUAGCGAUUCCAAGUUAAGGCUUUGCAACUCGAGUUUGAAACCGUUAGUUAGUUCGUCCCGGACUAGGACUAGUAUCAUAUGGAAUCCAAGCAUUUCACAAACCUUUUCUUAUUCAUAUACUUUAAGUUCAACCACAUCAAAACUUUAUACAUGCUCGGCCGACGUUCAAAACCAUAUCUUACAUAUUACAAAACGUACAUGUUUGCAAAAGGUAGCAAAUCUACACCAACAGCUUUCUGCUCCUCC